rnacentral:rRNA from 1 species
AGCAAACGCUGGCGGCGGGCCUAAUACAUGCAAGUCGAGCGCACCUUCGGGUGAGCGGCGGACGGGUGAGUAACGCGUGGGAACGUGCCCUUUGGUACGGGAUAACUGAGGGAAACUUCAGCUAAUACCGUAUGUGCCCUACGGGGGAAAGAUUUAUCGCCAUUGGAGCGGCCCGCGUUGGAUUAGGUAGUUGGUGAGGUAAAGGCUCACCAAGCCUACGAUCCAUAGCUGGUCUGAGAGGAUGAUCAGCCACACUGGGACUGAGACACGGCCCAGACUCCUACGGGAGGCAGCAGUAGGGAAUCUUGCGCAAUGGGCGAAAGCCUGACGCAGCCAUGCCGCGUGAAUGAUGAAGGUCUUAGGAUUGUAAAAUUCUUUCACCGGGGAAGAUAAUGACGGUACCCGGAGAAGAAGCCCCGGCUAACUUCGUGCCAGCAGCCGCCGUAAUAC